CACCGGCAAUAGUCUGUUUGUAACACUCCGUCUGUUGAAAAGUUCACGAAAAUGAAAUACCUUCUUGUGAUUUUUGCUCUUAUUGCAUGUCUUUUUGGACUUUCUCAAGGAACAAUCUGUGCACGAGAUAGGAGAAGUCGAAAUUAUCAAAAUUUUCCUACAUAUACAGAAAUGGCCAGAGAGAAUGGUAGAGGUGGAGACUACGAAUUCGUACAUGAUGGACAUUGUUAAUUUCAUGGGGAUAUAUAUUGAUCAACGCAAAUAAAAUUCGUUUGAUAUAAUCUAAACAUCUGUUUCUUAAUCAGUUAUGUAAUAUUUUUUGUGUACGAUUAAAAAAAUACAUUCACACAGAAAA